rnacentral:rRNA from 1 species
GACGAACGCUGGCGGCGUGCCUAACACAUGCAAGUCGAACGGAGUGUUUAUUUAUAAACACUUAGUGGCGAACGGGUGAGUAACGCGUAGACAACCUACCCUCUAGAUGGGGACAACACCGCGAAAGUGGUGCUAAUACCGAAUGUUGUAAUGUUGUUGCAUAAUGAUAUUACUAAAGGUGGCCUCUAUAUAUAAGCUACCGCUAGAAGAUGGGUCUGCGUCUGAUUAGCUAGUUGGUGAGAUAACAGCUCACCAAGGCAAUGAUCAGUAGCCGGUCUGAGGGGAUGAACGGCCACACUGGGACUGAGACACGGGCCAGACUCCUACGGGAGGCAGCAGUGGGGAAUCUUCCGCAAUGGACGAAAGUCUGACGGAGCAACGCCGCGUGAGUGAAGAAGGUUUUCGGAUCGUAAAGCUCUGUCUUCAAGGACGAAUGUAGAUAUUGUGAAUAAUGAUAUUUAAUGACGGUACUUGAGGAGGAAGACGGUAGCCAAGGAGGAAGCCCCGGCUAACUAC